rnacentral:snRNA from 1 species
UCGGGGCGUGGACCGACG